rnacentral:rRNA from 1 species
GUGGGGAAUCUUCCGCAAUGGACGAAAGUCUGACGGAGCAACGCCGCGUGAGUGAUGAAGGUUUUCGGACUGUAAAGCUCUGUUGUUUAGGACGAAAGUGCCUGUUGCAAAUAGUUACAGGUAUUGACGGUACUGAACGAGGAAGCCACGGCUAACUACGUGCCAGCAGCCGCGGUAAUACGUAGGUGGCAAGCGUUGUCCGGAAUUAUUGGGCGUAAAGAGCAUGUAGGCGGGAAUCUAAGUCUGUUGUGAAAAUGCGGGGCUCAACCCCGUAUUGCGAUGGAAACUGGGUUUCUUGAGUGCAGGAGAGGAAAGGGGAAUUCCCAGUGUAGCGGUGAAAUGCGUAGAUAUUGGGAGGAACACCAGUGGCGAAGGCGCCUUUCUGGACUGUGUCUGACGCUGAGAUGCGAAAGCCAGGGUAGCGAACGGGAUUAGAAACCCUGGUAGUCC